rnacentral:lncRNA from 1 species
UUCAUUUGUAAUUUCAGUGGUUGAUGGUUAAGCAUCGGAAAGUGAAUACCAGCAAACAAAAUAGUUAGAAUUUGGAAGUUUGUAAACAUUUUGAAUUGAAAGCUUUUAGUUUGAACAAAGCAGUUUAGAAGUCUCUACGAUUGUUGCAAGCUACCGGGUUGUUUUAAAACGAUAAUUCCCUACGGGAAUGGUCGCAGUCCUUCGAAUAGGUAGUUUGCAAUAAUCUGGUAACUUCGGAGCUUCGGAAACUAGUUGUCUCAGGAACUAAGUGUCUCGGAGACUAGGUGUCCCAGAACUAGUUGUCUCAGGAACUAGAUGUCUCGGGGAUAGAUGUUUCAGAACUGGUUGUCUCAGGAUCUAGGUGUCUUAGAAGUAAGUGUCUCAGAAACCAAAGGUUUGACGCCUGUUCUCUGUUAUAGUUUUUGAAAGGAUAUACUUGUUUAGAAAAUCAGUUGGGAACUCGGAGUUAGAAAAGGAUUAACGAUAAAUUAAGUUUGUAGACUACUUUUUGAUACAAGGUUAAUUGUGUAUUAAGUUUCAAAGUUUAAAGUUUGGUCUCGUAGUUUUAAGUAAAGCCUCCAGGUUUAGUAAGGUUUUGAGUUACAUUUUUAUAAAAAGAAAAAGAUUCUUUGAAAAGGGAUACUUUAUAAGUCAAACACGUUACAUCAUCAUCGGGUUUGUACUUACAUGUGCAACACGAGAAGUGCCACAUGUGGAUCAGCAUAUGCAUACCCUCCGAAAGCACAUA